GAUGAACGCUGGCGGCGUGCCUAAUACAUGCAAGUCGAGCGAACAGACGAGGAGCUUGCUCCUUUGACGUUAGCGGCGGACGGGUGAGUAACACGUGGGUAACCUACCUAUAAGACUGGGAUAACUUCGGGAAACCGGAGCUAAUACCGGAUAAUAUUUCGAACCGCAUGGUUCGAUAGUGAAAGAUGGCUUUGCUAUCACUUAUAGAUGGACCUGCGCCGUAUUAGCUAGUUGGUAAGGUAACGGCUUACCAAGGCAACGAUACGUAGCCGACCUGAGAGGGUGAUCGGCCACACUGGAACUGAGGCACGGUCCAGACUCCUACGGGAGGCAGCAGUAGGGAAUCUUCCGCAAUGGGCGAAAGCCUGACGGAGCAACGCCGCGUGAGUGAUGAAGGUCUUCGGAUCGUAAAACUCUGUUAUUAGGGAAGAACAAACGUGUAAGUAACUGUGCACGUCUUGACGGAACCUAAUCAGAAAGCCACGGCUAACUACGUG
rnacentral:rRNA from 1 species